UAAGAACACAAGAGUAGUGUUUUCAGUUGAUAAUCUACAGCUCACAACAAAUACUCUGAAAAACUUGAUUCUGAAACUUCCUUUGUUUUAAAUUCUGUUCUUUGAAGCAUUGGCUGGGCUACCUUCACAAAGGAUCCCAAUCCCUUAUGAGUUGUCUGGGACAUAAUGAGGCUGCAGCAAAGAGAAGAAAGAGAUGAGAAGCAUGUAGAAAGUGGCAAACUGACUGAGAAGACUGGUCCCAAUUCAAGUUGAGGGUUCAAUACAGCAGUAUCUACCUUAAAAUGUGACGUCUGGAACCCAACACAACCCUUUAGAUAUGGUUUGAGCAGUACUGAAAACAGGAUAAUUCCAAGAAUCAAGAAUUACUUCAAAAGGUCAACAAUUUCAUCAAUGUGAACAAUUUUUCCACAAAUAAACCCAUCUAUGCCUAUG